UUUGUAGCUACAGCAUUAAGAUAAUGGCUGUGAGGGUCUGUUUGUGUAAUGUGCAAAUAUAUUUUCAUAGCAACAAACCAUUUUGCUAUGAAUUAUACAUAGAACUGUCGGGUGAUUUGAAGCCUCUUUUGCGUGCCGGCCGUGUUGCGCCUGCCCCGUUCCGUGGCUUUAGCCGGCGCGGCCUCGCGAUGCUGGUGGCUCCUCGGUGCCCACGGCCCCCAUCCGUGGGCCACGGGGCCUGGCUCAGAGGGAAAGGGCUUAGCAGCAAGAGGUUCAGGAAGGCGUUGAGGCGUGUGUGGACUCAGGUGGAGAGCAAGGCAGGUCGGCGGUGAUGGAGCUGCUGCUCUGAAGCCCACUGCCGAGGAAGAAGGGUCCAUUUGUAAUGUCUGGUUGAUUCUCAUUUGAUUUCGGCAUUUACGGAGGCCCGUAUAUGCCGGGCCUGGUGCUCCGGGAUCCCGUUUGAUCGAGUCCAAGCCCCACCUUGUGGGGGUGGUGAGGGAGCCCCCCAGUCAUGUUAACUAAAGGAUCACAGAACCAUGUAUCCACUCGUACCUGGUGGAGAGGUGCAAAUGACGGGUACCAGAGGUGCGAAUGAUGGGUACCAGAGGGGUGAAUGAUGGGUACCAGAGCUGUGAAUGAUGGGUACCAGAGGGGUGAAUGAUGGGUACCAGAGGUGCGAAUGAUGGGUACCAGAGCUGCAAAUGAUGGGUACCAGAGGGUUGAAUGAUGGGUACCAGAGGGGUGAAUGAUGGGUACCAGAGCUGUGAAUGAUGGGUACCAGAGGUGCGAAUGAUGGGUACCAGAGGUGCGAAUGAUGGGUACCAGAGGUGCGAAUGAUGGGUACCAGAGGUGCGAAUGAUGGGUACCAGAGGUGCGAAUGAUGGGUACCAGAGAGGUCGGGACUGAGUGCAGGGCAGGGCUGAUGUCCAUUGGUGCCGUCAUAGCUCUGUUCUAAGCCAGAUCUCCCCCAAAGAGUUUUCAGAAGUGAAGUUCAUUUUCUUGUGCCACAACCAAAAAGAAAAACAGUGUGAGCUUGAUUGUUUCAUUCUCUUGAAGUAGAGAACACCGAGGAAGGUUUCAUUGUGUUUCCAUACCACUGAUCUUUCAAAGAAAAAAAAUCAGUACUCGUUUUGUUACAAGUGACAGGUCAUCUAUAACCCAAACUGGCUUAAGCAGAAAAGAGGGUUUAUUGGAUCUUUGCACUCAAGUACAGCUGGAUCCAGGUGCACAGUGUUUUAGGGACAUUUUCUCCAUCCCUUGCAUUGUCUUCUGCCAUGGGCUUCAUUUUCCUCCAGUUCCAUGUGGUGACCUUGGGUAACUCCAGGCUCACAUCCUCUCAAGUUUGGGUCCAGUAGAAGAAAUUUUAAAAGUAUCUCUUCUGGGCUUCCCUGGUGGCGCAGUGGUUAAGA